AACGAACGCUGGCGGCAGGCUUAACACAUGCAAGUCGAACGCCCCGCAAGGGGAGUGGCAGACGGGUGAGUAACGCGUGGGAACAUACCCUUUCCUGCGGAAUAGCUCUGGGAAACUGGAAUUAAUACCGCAUACGCCCUACGGGGGAAAGAUUUAUCGGGGAAGGAUUGGCCCGCGUUGGAUUAGCUAGUUGGUGGGGUAAAGGCCUACCAAGGCGACGAUCCAUAGCUGGUCUGAGAGGAUGAUCAGCCACAUUGGGACUGAGACACGGCCCAAACUCCUACGGGAGGCAGCAGUGGGGAAUAUUGGACAAUGGGCGCAAGCCUGAUCCAGCCAUGCCGCGUGAGUGAUGAAGGCCUUAGGGUUGUAAAGCUCUUUCACCGGUGAAGAUAAUGACUGUAGCCGGAGAAGAAGCCCCGGCUAACUUCGUGCCAGCCGCCGCCGUAAUAC
rnacentral:rRNA from 1 species